UGGGGAAUAUUGGACAAUGGGCGCAAGCCUGAUCCAGCCAUGCCGCGUGAGUGAUGAAGGUCUUAGGGUUGUAAAGCUCUUUCACCGGUGAAUAUAAUGACGGUAACCGGAGAAGAAGCCCCGGCUAACUCCGUGCCAGCAGCCGCGGUAAUACGAAGGGGGCUAGCGUUGUUCGGAUUUACUGGGCGUAAAGCGCACGUAGGCGGACUUUUAAGUCAGUGGUGAAAUCCCGGGGCUCAACCCCGGAACUGCCUUUGAUACUGGAAGUCUUGAGUAUGGUAGAGGUGAGUGGAAUUCCGGGUGUAGAGGUGAAAUUCGUAGAUAUUCGGAGGAACACCAGUGGCGAAGGCGGCUCACUGGACCAUUACUGACGCUGAGGUGCGAAAGCGUGGGGAGCAAACAGG
rnacentral:rRNA from 1 species